CGGGCGGCGUGGAAGACUGCAAGUCGAACGCUGAUUAGAGGGUAGCAAUAUUCUCUAGUCGGAGUGGCGCAAGGGUGCGUAACACGUGGGCAAUCUGCCGUGAAGUCUGGGAUAACUCGCUGAAAGGCGAGCUAAUACCGGAUGAGACUGUUGGGAGGCAUCUCUUGACAGUGAAAGCUGGGGACCGCAAGGCCUGGCACUUUACGAUGAGCCCGCGGCCUAUCAGCUAGUUGGUGAGGUAACGGCUCACCAAGGCUAAGACGGGUAGCUGGUCUGAGAGGACGACCAGCCACACUGGAACUGAGACACGGUCCAGACACCUACGGGUGGCAGCAGUCGAGAAUUUUUCACAAUGGGCGCAAGCCUGAUGGAGCGACGCCGCGUGGGGGAUGAAGGGUUUCGAUCCGUAAACCCCUGUCAUUUGCGAACAAACCUUAUUCAAUAACACUGGAUGAGCUGAUUGUAGCGGAAGAGGAAGGGACGGCUAACUCUGUGCCAGCAGCCGCGGUAAUACAGAGGUCCCAAGCGUUGUUCGGAUUCACUGGGCGUAAAGGGUGCGUAGGUGGCCAGGUAAGUUCGGUGUGAAAGCUCGGAGCUUAACUCCGAGAAGGCAUUGAAUACUAUCUGGCUGGAGGGUCGGAGGGGAGACUGGAAUUCUCGGUGUAGCAGUGAAAUGCGUAGAUAUCGAGAGGAACACCAGUGGCGAAGGCGAGUCUCUGGACGACAUCUGACACUGAGGCACGAAAGCUAGGGGAGCAAACAGGAUUAGAUACCCUGGUAGUCCUAGCUGUAAACGGUGCACGUUUGCUGUAAGAGGAAU
rnacentral:rRNA from 1 species